rnacentral:tRNA from 2 species
GGAGGAAUACCCAAGUCCGGCUGAAGGGAUCGGUCUUGAAAACCGACAGGAGCUUAACGGCUCGCGGGGGUUCGAAUCCCUCUUCCUCCGCUA